rnacentral:rRNA from 1 species
ACGAUGUGGGAAGGCCCAGACAGCCAGGAUGUUGGCUUAGAAGCAGCCAUCAUUUAAAGAAAGCGUAAUAGCUCACUGGUCGAGUCGGCCUGCGCGGAAGAUGUAACGGGGCUAAACCAUGCACCGAAGCUGCGGCAGCGACACUAUGUGUUGUUGGGUAGGGGAGCGUUCUGUAAGCCUGUGAAGGUGGCCUGUGAGGGUUGCUGGAGGUAUCAGAAGUGCGAAUGCUGACAUAAGUAACGAUAAAGCGGGUGAAAAGCCCGCUCGCCGGAAGACCAAGGGUUCCUGUCCAACGUUAAUCGGGGCAGGGUGAGUCGACCCCUAAGGCGAGGCCGAAAGGCGUAGUCGAUGGGAAACAGGUUAAUAUUCCUGUACUUGGUGUUACUGCGAAGGGGGGACGGAGAAGGCUAUGUUGGCCGGGCGACGGUUGUCCCGGUUUAAGCGUGUAGGCUGGUUUUCCAGGCAAAUCCGGAAAACCAAGGCUGAGGCGUGAUGA